rnacentral:rRNA from 1 species
CCUACGGGAGGCAGCAGUGGGGAAUAUUGCACAAUGGGGGAAACCCUGAUGCAGCGACGCCGCGUGAGUGAAGAAGUACUUCGUUAUGUAAAGCUCUAUCAGCAGGGAAGAAAAUGACGGUACCUGAGUAAGAAGCCCCGGCCAACUACGUGCCAGCAGCCGCGGUAAUACGGAGGGGGCAAGCGUUAUCCGGAUUUACUGGGUGUAAAGGGAGCGUAGACGGCAGUGCAAGUCAGGAGUGAAAGGCGGGGGCUCAACCCCCGGACUGCUCUGGAAACUGUACGGCUUGAGUGCAGGAGAGGUAAGUGGAAUUCCUGGUGUAGCGGUGAAAUGCGUAGAUAUUAGGAAGAACACCGGUGGCGAAGGCGGCUUACUGGACUGUAACUGACGUUGAGGCUCGAAAGCGUGGGGAGCAAACAGGAUUAGAUACCCGAGUAGUC